CCUACGGGAGGCAGCAGUGGGGAAUCUUGCGCAAUGGGCGAAAGCCUGACGCAGCCAUGCCGCGUGUAUGAUGAAGGUCUUAGGAUUGUAAAAUACUUUCACCGGGGACGAUAAUGACGGUACCCGGAGAAGAAGCCCCGGCUAACUUCGUGCCAGCAGCCGCGGUAAUACGAAGGGGGCUAGCGUUGCUCGGAAUUACUGGGCGUAAAGGGAGCGUAGGCGGAUAGUUUAGUCAGAGGUGAAAGCCCAGGGCUCAACCUUGGAACUGCCUUUGAUACUGGCUAUCUUGAGUAUGGGAGAGGUGAGUGGAACUCCGAGUGUAGAGGUGAAAUUCGUAGAUAUUCGGAAGAACACCAGUGGCGAAGGCGACUCACUGGCCCAUUACUGACGCUGAGGCUCGAAAGCGUGGGGAGCAAACAGGAUUAGAUACCCUGGUAGUCCACGCCGUAAACGAUGAGUGCUAGUUGUCGGCGAUGCAUGCAUGUCGGUGGUACGCGAGACGUAACGACGACUUAAGUACGACCGUCCGCCGUCGGGGUAGGUACGGGUACGGCGAAGUAAGUUAAAACGUUAAAAGGUUAAAGUUAGUACGGCGUUGAGGACGUUGCCGACGGACGACGACGAGGGAGGAGG
rnacentral:rRNA from 1 species